AGACCCGGGUUCACUUCAUGGGUCCUCCCUGUGUGGAGUUUGCCUGUUCUCCCCGUGUCUGCGUGGGUUUCCUCCCACAGUCCAAAGACAUGCAGGUUAGGUGCAUUGGCGAUCCUAAAUUGUCCCUAGUGUGUGCUUGGUGUGUGGGUGUGUGUGUGCCCUGCGGUGGGCUGGCGCCCUGUCCAGGGUUUGUUUCCUGCCUUGCACCCUGUGUUGGCUGGGAUUGGCUCCAGCAGAUAUAGCGGGUUGGAUAAUGAAUGGAUGGACAAU